GGCCGAGUACCCGGAGGGAGAGGCAGGAAGGAAGGCAGCCGCGUGACAGCCGACAGUGUACAGACGUCAGUGAAGGUGGGAGGAGUGGUCUUGUUGCGGCUCCUGGCAGUGACACGGUAUCUUUUCGUGGCUAAGGAAGGAAAAAUAAUCGAGGCCUGAAAGUGACCCAAACUGGAAGGGAGAACAGAGCGUGUACCUGCAAGACCCUAAUUGGCUCCGGAACACACCUGGCGGGACCCAACACCUGCCAGGAUAUCAUGACAAGUACCUGAUUGCACCCGGGAAAAGGGAGCGAAAAGUUAGGAGGGAGGAAAAAGAAAGUAAAAGACUCAAAGAAAGGAAGGAUUUGGUAAGAGCAGACUGGGACAGGAUUGCUCAAGAAAAUAGAAAUAGGAGGAAAAGUGAGAGAUUGGGUGUGAGAAGUGAAAAAGGAACGGAUAAGGAAGUGAAAAGAAGAAAUAUAAAUGAAAAGAGAAACUUAAGAAAGGAAGAAGAGAGUAAAUUAAGUUAGAGAAGGAGAAAGGGAAGAGAAAAACGUUAAGAGAAGGAAAAGGGACAUUUGAUUAGUGAAAAAAAAGACAAAUUAAAACUUAGUAAAAGAAAAGAGAGGUUAACAUAGUGAAUGAGAAAGACUUAGAAAAUAAAAGGAAAAAAAGUUAAAGAAAAGCAAGGAAAGAAUCUUAAGUCAGUGGAUAUGAUUUCUGGGAACUAAGACAGGACCCAAGAGGAACUGAGAGGGGAGGGGCGCCUACACCCUCCCGUCACUCCCGCACACCAGCACUCCCCUCUUGUCUGUGUCACCGAGGGGCGGCCUCCUCACAGGUCGCCGACGCCUGGCCGCCAAGAUUUACUGGUCAAACUCGCCACAGAUUUUUAAGGUGAGGUGCGAGCUACCUGUCUGUAAUGAAGCGAGGCAGAGGUGGGUGGCCAGGUGUGUGUGGAGCUAAUCAGGCGUAUUCAGGUGGCGGGGCGGCUCACUGCCUUACAAAUGACUGCGUGCUUGAACGAAGGAGAAAGGGAGGCAGGGAUGGGAUGAAUGCAAGAAGGAAGGAGUAAGGUCAGGAGAGAAAAGCGGGAGAGAAGGAGGGAUAAAUGAAAGCAAGGAGGGAAGAAAGGAAUCGAGGGAGAGAAGACAGGAUGGAUGGGGGAAGAAGAGAAGGGAUUAAGACAAAAAGAGGGAGGGAAGGAGGGAUAGAUCGAAGUAAGGAAGGAGAGAAGAGAGGGAGGGAAGGAGGGAUGGAUGUAAGCAAGGAGAGAAGAGAGGAGAGGAAAGAAGGAAUAGUUGAGAGCAAGGAGGGAAAAAGGGAAGAGAGGGAGGGAAGGAGAGAUGGAUGGAAAGAAGAAAAGAACGAAGCAAGGAAGGAAGGAGAAGAGAGAGAACAUAAUAAAAACGAAAGAAGAAGAAGAGAGGGGUUAGAUGGGAGCAAGAAAGGUAGGAGAGAAGAGAGAAUAAGAUGAAAGAGGGAAAGAAGGAGGAAUGGAAGGAAAGCAUGGAAGGAGGAAAGAGAGAAUGGAACAGAAAAAAAUGAAAGAAGGGAAAGAUGAAAGAGAGACAGAUUGGAGUAGAAAGAAGACUGGAGUUAGAGAAGAAAAGAGACGAGAAAAAAAUAUACGACAAACACAAAAAAAGAAAGGAAAAGGAAAGAAAAAAAGCAGAGAAAGACAAAAAAGAAAGAAAAAAGCAGAGAAAGACAUACAAUUAUAACAAACUAAAAAAAUGAGGAAUAAAAGGAAAAGUAGAAAAAGAGAGAGAGAGGAAAAAAAAGAAUGGGACACUAAGAGAUUUUGAAGACGGAGACGAAAAUGGAGAAAAGUAGGAAAAGAAUGUAGAAAAUGUAUGAAAGAAGGACAAGAGGAGGACUUCGAAAUUCCGAACGUAUUUCUUCUCCUUGAAUGAGAGAAGAUGAUGGAGAAAACUUACACCUUGAUGAGGGUCACCUGAGAGAACGGCUGUAAGAAGAGGAGGAGGAGGAGGAGGAGGAGGAGGAGGAGUGAAGGAAAGUAAAAAAAAAGUAUGAGGAAGGAAAGAAAAGAAGGGGAGAAGGAAAAGGAAGAAAUAAGUUAGAGGAAAGAAGGAAGAGAAGAAGUGAAGGAAAGGGAAAGGAAGAGAAGGAGAGAAAGAAAGGGAAGAAUCUAGGAAGAGGAAAGAAGGAAAGUGAAGAAACCAGUAAGAAGAAAGAAGGAAGAGAAGGAAGGAAGGGAGAGGAAAGAAGGAAGAGAAUGAAAGAAGAAAAGUGAAGAAAGAAGUAAGAGGAAAGAAGAAAUAGAAAAGAGAAAAGUAAGAGGAAAGAAACAAAAGAAGAAAGAAAGGGGAGAAACUGGUAACAGGAAAUAAGGAGGGGGAAGAAACUGGCAUGAGGAGAAAAGGAAGAUAAGGAGAUUAGUAAGAGGAAAUAAAAUUAAAUGAAAAAAAAGCAGUGAAUGAAAUAAAGGUAAAGACAAAAUGGGAUAAAAUAAGAACCAAAAUGAAGAAAGAAAAGAAAGAGAAGGUCAAGGCAAGCAAAGAAAGCAGAGGUGACUGAGGUAAAGAGUGACGAAGGAGGGAGAAGAUGGGAGGGAGAGGGAGGAGAGGAAGACAGAAGGGGGUAAAGGGAGGGAUGGAAGGUAGGAGGAAAGGAGGGAAGGAAGUAACGACAGUGGGAGGUUGAGGAGGAAGAAGGGGAAAGAGAGGGGAAGGAGGCAGGAGAGAGGAGGGGAAAGUGGAGAAGAGAAAGAGAGGGGAAGGAGGGGAGGGAGUCAGGAGAGAGGAAGGGAAGGUGGGGAAGGGAGGGGAAGGAGACAGGAGAGAGGAGAGAAAGGUGGGGAAAGGGAGGGGAGGGAGAGGGGAAGGAGGGAUAGUAGCGCCCCCCAAUAAUGCAGCAACAGAAGGUCAUUGUCCUUGUGCGCCCCCCUUCCCUCCUCCCUCCCCUCCUCCCCCCUCCCCUCGUCUCCCCCUUCCCUUCUGCUCUCCCCUUAACUUCCCUCCCACUCCUCUGUGAUCCUGUGCCCUCCUCUGCUUUCGCCUCCGUCCUCCUCCUCCUCCUCCUCCUCCUCCUUC